UGGGGAAUUUUGGACAAUGGGCGAAAGCCUGAUCCAGCAAUGCCGCGUGUGUGAAGAAGGCCUUCGGGUUGUAAAGCACUUUUGUCCGGAAAGAAAUCCUUGGCUCUAAUACAGUCGGGGGAUGACGGUACCGGAAGAAUAAGCACCGGCUAACUACGUGCCAGCAGCCGCGGUAAUACGUAGGGUGCAAGCGUUAAUCGGAAUUACUGGGCGUAAAGCGUGCGCAGGCGGCUUGCUAAGACCGAUGUGAAAUCCUCGGGCUCAACCUGGGAACUGCAUUGGUGACUGGCAGGCUAGAGUAUGGCAGAGGGGGGUAGAAUUCCACGUGUAGCAGUGAAAUGCGUAGAGAUGUGGAGGAAUACCGAUGGCGAAGGCAGCCCCCUGGGGCCAAUACUGACGCUCAUGCACGAAAAGCGUGGGGAGCAAAACAGGAUUAGAUACCCUGGUAGUCCACGCCCUAAACGAUGUCAACUAGUUGUUGGGGAUUCAUUUCCUUAGUAACGUAGCUAACGCGUGAAGUUGACCGCCUGGGGAGUACGGUCGCAAGAUUAAAACUCAAAGGAAUUGACGGGGUCAUAGCUGUUUCCU
rnacentral:rRNA from 1 species